GUGAGGAAUAUUGGUCAAUGGGCGAGAGCCUGAACCAGCCAUGCCGCGUGCAGGAAGAAUGCCCUAUGGGUUGUAAACUGCUUUUAUUUGGGAAUAAACCUUUCUACGUGUAGAAAGCUGAAGGUACUAAAUGAAUAAGCACCGGCUAACUCCGUGCCAGCAGCCGCGGUAAUACGGAGGGUGCAAGCGUUAUCCGGAAUCAUUGGGUUUAAAGGGUCCGCAGGCGGAUUAAUAAGUCAGUGGUGAAAUCUCAUAGCUUAACUAUGAAACUGCCAUUGAUACUGUUAGUCUUGAAUAUGGUCGAUGUGGGCGGAAUAUGACAUGUAGCGGUGAAAUGCUUAGAUAUGUUAUAGAACACCGAUAGCGAAGGCAGCUCACAAGGCCAUUAUUGACGCUCAUGGACGAAAGCGUGGGGAGCAAACAGGAUUAGAAACCCUGGUAGUCC
rnacentral:rRNA from 1 species